AGAGUUUGAUCAUGGCUCAGAAUCAACGCUGGCGGCGUGCCUCAGACAUGCAAGUCGAACGAUUAAAGCUCCCUUCGGGGAGUGCAUAAAGUGGCGCACGGGUGAGUAACACGUAAGUAAUCUGCCUUCGAGUGGGGAAUAACCCGGGGAAACCCGAGCUAAUACCGCAUAAUGCAGCGGCACCUAAUGGUGACAGUUGUUAAAGGAGCAAUCCGCUUGAAGAGGAGCUUGCGGCAGAUUAGCUUGUUGGUAAGGUAACGGCUUACCAAGGCUACGAUCUGUAUCCGGUCUAAGAGGACGGUCGGACACACUGACACUGAAUAACGGGUCAGACUCCUACGGGAGGCAGCAGUCGGGAAUUUUGGGCAAUGGGGGAAACCCUGACCCAGCAACGCCGCGUGAAGGAUGAAGUAUUUCGGUAUGUAAACUUCGAAAGAAUAGGAAGAAUUAAUGACGGUACUAUUUAUAAGGUCCGGCUAACUACGUGCCAGCAGCCGCGGUAAUACGUAGGGACCAAGCGUUGUUCGGAUUUACUGGGCGUAAAGGGCGCGUAGGCGGCGCGGUAAGUCACUUGUGAAAUCUCUGAGCUUAACUCAGAACGGCCAAGUGAUACUGCAGUGCUAGAGUGUGGAAGGGGCAAUCGGAAUUCUUGGUGUAGCGGUGAAAUGCGUAGAUAUCAAGAGGAACACCUGAGGUGAAG
rnacentral:rRNA from 1 species